rnacentral:rRNA from 1 species
CCGGUAGACGAUGGGGAUGCGUUCCAUUAGAUAGUAGGCGGGGUAACGGCCCACCUAGUCAACGAUGGAUAGGGGUUCUGAGAGGAAGGUCCCCCACAUUGGAACUGAGACACGGUCCAAACUCNUACGGGAGGCAGCAGUGAGGAAUAUUGGUCAAUGGGCGAUGGCCUGAACCAGCCAAGUAGCGUGAAGGAUGACUGCCCUAUGGGUUGUAAACUUCUUUUAUAAAGGAAUAAAGUCGGGUAUGCAUACCCGUUUGCAUGUACUUUAUGAAUAAGGAUCGGCUAACUCCGUGCCAGCAGCCGCGGUAAUACGGAGGAUCCGAGCGUUAUCCGGAUUUAUUGGGUUUAAAGGGAGCGUAGAUGGAUGUUUAAGUCAGUUGUGAAAGUUUGCGGCUCAACCGUAAAAUUGCAGUUGAUACUGGAUGUCUUGAGUGCAGUUGAGGCAGGCGGAAUUCGUGGUGUAGCGGUGAAAUGCUUAGAUAUCACGA